AACGAACGCUGGCGGCAUGCCUAACACAUGCAAGUCGAACGAGACCUUCGGGUCUAGUGGCGCACGGGUGCGUAACGCGUGGGAACCUGCCCUUAGGUUCGGUAUAACUCCCCGAAAGGGGUGCUAAUACCGGAUAAUGUCUUCGGACCAAAGAGUUAUCGCCUUUGGAUGGGCGCGCGUUGGAUUAGCUAGUUGGUAGGGUAAAAGCCGACCAAGGCGACGUUCCAUAGCUGGUCUGGGAGGAGGACCAGCCACACUGGGACUGAGACACGGCCCAGACUCCUACGGGAGGCAGCAGUGGGGAAUAUUGGACGAGGGGCGAAAGCCUGAUCCAGCAAUGCCGGGUGAGUGGUGAAGGGCUUAGGGUUGUAAAGCUCUUUUACCCGGGAUGAUAAUGACAGUACCGGGAGAAUAAGCUCCGGCUAACUACGUG
rnacentral:rRNA from 1 species